GACUAACGCUGGCGGCGUGCCUAAUGCAUGCAAGUCGAGCGCAUCCGCCUUCGGGCGGGUGAGCGGCGGACGGGUGAGGACCGCGUGGGCAACCUGCCCCGGGCUGGGGGAUACCCGGCGGAAACGUCGGUCAAUCCCGCGUACGGUCAGCGGGCUCCGGCUCGCUGAGGAAAGCCCCUUCGGGGGCGGCCUGGGAGGGGCCUGCGCCCCAUCAGCUAGUCGGCGGGGUAACGGCCCACCGAGGCGAUGACGGGUCGCUGGUCUGAGAGGAUGGCCAGCCACACGGGGACUGGGAGACGGCCCCGACUCCUACGGGAGGCAGCAGCAAGGGAUUUUCCGCAAUGGGCGCAAGCCUGACGGAGCGACGCCGCGUGGGGGAUGACGCCUUUCGGGGUGUAAACCCCUUUUCCGGGGGGAGAGGACGGACGGUACCCCGGGAAGAAGCCCCGGCUAACUACGUGCCAGCCGCCGCGGUAAUAC
rnacentral:rRNA from 1 species